UACGUAGGGUGCGAGCGUUGUCCGGAAUUAUUGGGCGUAAAGGGCUCGUAGGCGGGUUGUCGCGUCGGGAGUGAAAACUCAGGGCUUAACCCUGAGCCUGCUUCCGAUACGGGCAGACUAGAGGUAUGCAGGGGAGAACGGAAUUCCUGGUGUAGCGGUGAAAUGCGCAGAUAUCAGGAGGAACACCGGUGGCGAAGGCGGUUCUCUGGGCAUUACCUGACGCUGAGGAGCGAAAGUGUGGGGAGCGAACAGG
rnacentral:rRNA from 1 species